rnacentral:rRNA from 1 species
UAGUCCACGCCGUAAACGAUGUCAACUAGUUGUUCGUCUUAUAAACAAGGUGAGUAACGCAGCUAACGCACUAAGUUGACCGCCUGGGGAGUACGGCCGCAAGGUUAAAACUCAAAUGAAUUGACGGGGGCCCGCACAAGCGGUGGAGCAUGUGGUUUAAUUCGAUGCAACGCGAAGAACCUUACCAUCCCUUGACAUCCAGAGAAGAUUUUAGAGAUAGAAUUGUGCCUUCGGGAACUCUGAGACAGGUGCUGCAUGGUUGUCGUCAGCUCGUGUUGUGAGAUGUUGGGUUAAGUCCCGCAACGAGCGCAACCCUUAUCCUCAGUUGCCAGCACGUAAAGGUGGGAACUCUGUGGAGACUGCCGGUGAUAAACCGGAGGAAGGUGGGGACGACGUCAAGUCAUCAUGGCCCUUACGGGAUGGGCUACACACGUGCUACAAUGGCGCGUACAAAGGGAAGCAAGCUAGCGAUAGUGAGCGGAUCUCAAAAAGCGCGUCGUAGUCCGGAUUGGG